AUUGAACGCUGGCGGAAUGCUUUACACAUGCAAGUCGAACGGCAGCACGGGGGUAACCCUGGUGGCGAGUGGCGAACGGGUGAGUAACACAUCGGAACGUGCCCAAUCGUGGGGGAUAACGUAGCGAAAGCUACGCUAAUACCGCAUACGAUCUACGGAUGAAAGCGGGGGAUCGCAAGACCUCGCGGGAAUGGAGCGGCCGAUGGCAGAUUAGGUAGUUGGUGGGGUAAAGGCUCACCAAGCCAACGAUCUGUAGCUGGUCCGAGAGGACGACCAGCCACACUGGGACUGAGACACGGCCCAGACUCCUACGGGAGGCAGCAGUGGGGAAUUUUGGACAAUGGGCGCAAGCCUGAUCCAGCCAUUCCGCGUGCAGGAUGAAGGCCUUCGGGUUGUAAACUGCUUUUGUACGGAACGAAACGGCCCUUUCUAAUACAGAGGGCUAAUGACGGUACCGUAAGAAUAAGCACCGGCUAACUACGUGCCAGCAGCCGCGGUAAAAC
rnacentral:rRNA from 1 species